UCUGUCUUUUUUUAUUAUUUUCCUCUCUAUUUUGUGGAGAUCUACUUGGUUUGUAUUUUGAUCACUUUUUGGCAGUUUUUUCCCUCGAUAUUAACGAUUGGAUUUGUUUUUUGUGUUGAAAUUAAGUGGAGUUUAGUUUAUUUUUUGUUGAUUUUGUGUUAUUUAAGAUGUUUUCGUAGUGGGUUUCUUAAAUUGUGGAGCACUCUAUACUAGCGAGGUCUUUUCUAGUUGAAUUGGUACAUUUCACCUCACUUUAAGAUAUUCAAUUUUAAAACUUUUUAACUUAACCAUAUGAAUUAUCUGUAUUUUGUGUUUCUCAUUGAUUCUUAAGGAAAUCUGCUGUGGUAAUUGCGAUUAUACGACCCAAUUACUGGUUCCGAUUUCAGAUAUUUAUGUAUUUAAGGGUUAGACAAGAUAAAAGCAUUUCCUUUUAGGAAACUAGGUUGGCCUUUUG
rnacentral:misc_RNA from 1 species